UAGCGGAGGAAAAGAAACCAACCGGGAUUGCCUCAGUAACGGCGAGUGAAGCGGCAAAAGCUCAAAUUUGAAAUCGGUGCGCCGAGUUGUAAAUUGAAGGACCCAAGCUGGGACGACGCCGGUUUAAGUGCCUUGGAACAGGCCGCCAUGGAGGGUGACAGCCCCGUGAAGCCGGGCCGUCGUGCCGUGCAGCUUGCGUCCGACGAGUCGAGUUGUUUGGGAAUGCAGCUCUAAGUGGGUGGUAAGCUCCAUCUAAAGCUAAAUAUUGGCGAGAGACCGAUAGCGAACAAGUACAGUGAUGGAAAGAUGAAAAGCACUUUGAAAAGAGAGUGAAACAGCACGUGAAAUUGUUGAAAGGGAAGGGCUUGGCCUCAGACGCGGGCGCGCUUCGGUGCGCCCGGGCCAGCAUGGGCUCGCGGGGGGCGACAAUGGCGCGAGAACGUGGCAGUGCCGAUUUUCGGUGGUGUGUUACAGCUCGCGCAGACAGUCCCACCGCGGGCCGAGGCAUGCGCAUCGCAAGGAUGCUGCCGUA
rnacentral:rRNA from 2 species